UACGGAGGGUGCAAGCGUUAUCCGGAUUCACUGGGUUUAAAGGGUGCGUAGGUGGGCUGGUAAGUCAGUGGUGAAAUCUCCAGGCUUAACUUGGAAACUGCCAUUGAUACUAUCAGUCUUGAAUACCGUGGAGGUCAGCGGAAUAUGUCAUGUAGGCGGUGAAAUGCUUAGAUAUGACAUAGGACACCAAUUGCGAAGGCAGCUGGCUACACGAAUAUGACACUGAUGCACGAAAGCGUGGGGAUCAAACAGG
rnacentral:rRNA from 1 species